rnacentral:antisense_RNA from 1 species
UGUAGGAGCUGCCGAAGGCUGCGAUCUUUUGAUCUUUUUUAAAAGCAAAGAUCGCAGCCUUCGGCAGCUCCUACA